CAAAAACAUGUCCUUUAGAAUUUAAUUAAAGGUCUGACCUGCCCAGUGAUAAUUUUAACGGCCGCGGUACAUUGACCGUGCAAAGGUAGCAUAAUCAUUAGUCUUUUAAUAGGAGGCUGGAAUGAAAGGUUUCACGAGGAAUUAACUGUCUCAUUUUAUUUGUUUUAAAAUUUAAUUUUUUAGUUAAAAAGCUAAAAUUUUAUUGGAAGACGAGAAGACCCUAUAGAUCUUUAUAUAAUUUUAUCUUAUUAUUUUUAUAUUAAUAUAUUUAUUUAAAAUUAUAUUUUAUUGGGGUGAUAAAAAAAUAUAAUAAACUUUUUCAUUUAUUUGACAUUGAUUAAUGAAUAUAUGAUCCAUUAUUAUUGAUUAUUAGACUAAGAUACCUUAGGGAUAACAGCGUAAUCUUCCUCCAGAGUUCAUAUUUACAGGAUAGGGUUGCGACCUCGAUGUUGGAUUAAGAUAAUAAUUAGGUGCAGCUGCUNAANUAUAGGUCUGUUCGACCUUUAAAUUCUUACAUGAUCUGAU
rnacentral:rRNA from 1 species